UGGGGAAUUUUGGACAAUGGGCGCAAGCCUGAUCCAGCAAUGCCGCGUGCAGGAUGAAGGCCUUCGGGUUGUAAACUGCUUUUGUACGGAACGAAAAAGCUCUCUCUAAUACAGGGGGUGAAUGACGGUACCGUAAGAAUAAGCACCGGCUAACUACGUGCCAGCAGCCGCGGUAAUACGUAGGGUGCAAGCGUUAAUCGGAAUUACUGGGCGUAAAGCGUGCGCAGGCGGUUUUGUAGGACAGAGGUGAAAUCCCCGGGCUCAACCUGGGAACUGCCUUUGUGACUGCAAAGCUGGAGUGCGGCAGAGGGGGAUGGAAUUCCGCGGGUAGCAGUGAAAUGCGUAGAUAUGCGGAGGAACACCGAUGGCGAAGGCAAUCCCCUGGGCCUGCACUGACGCUCAUGCACGAAAGCGUGGGGAGCAAACA
rnacentral:rRNA from 1 species